GGAAUGUAGAUUAUUUUGCAUUGGAUGUCAAGACUUCUGAACUUACUAAGGUUUGUAGGAGGAGGAGGCAAUUCUUCCAUAAAGAAGAUGUUCACUGCUACUUUGGCUUCCCCCUGUCAUUGUCAAAACCGAGUAUAUGAUGAAGUGGUAAGUUUAUUUUGUUUAUAUUUGGCGCGCUUUGGGAACUGUGUGUUGGCCAGUUGGCUAGUGGCGCGCGUCCGGCUGCGUGCCCAGCCCGCCACCCGCGUUCGAGCCACGGGCUCCGCAAGGUGUGACUGGGUUGUUUCUUCUUUUUUUUUUGAGGGAAAUGCCCUCAUGGCGGUUUAUAUUUCAUGAGCAAAAAGGGCUACAUCUUCUGACAAAAUGUCUAACAAAAAACCCGGAGGCUCGGACUGCCAUACAAUGGUUCGCGAGUCCUCCGACAUAGUAGCUAACAUAUUAGCCGCCAUAUUGGCUUCCUUAGGGCAGUGUUGAAAACUAACUGAAACAAAAUUACGACAAAUAAAAGCGCACUCCUCAUAAAUAGCUGCUGCCGGUCCAAGCGAGUUGCCUCUAGAUUGCAUCACUUGGAUCACUUCCAUACAGUCGGCCUCAAUCACCAGUUUGUUGCAGCCCAUGUCGUUUGCCAGAAUGAGGCCGUCUCGGAGCCCUCGGGCUUCCGCCGUCGCCGCGUCCUCAACGAACCGAAUGUCGCUACAUGAUGCUGCAAUGAAGGAUCCAGAAGCAUCGUGUAAGAUUGCACCUGAACCCCCUGAACCACUGUCCUCAGAAAAAGAGGCAUCUACGUUGAGUUUUACAAAUCCCUCACUUGGCUUGGUCCAUCCAUGUCUCUCAAUCUGGCCUGGACCCUUUUUCUUUGCUCUUGAGAAGUUCUUGGACAGCGUCGAAAUUGCUUGUGCUGAUCUGGGUUGUUUCUUCUUAAUUAAAAUGCCACAGGGCAAAUCCUAGUUGGUCUAGUUUUAAGAACAGAGCAGUGGCCGGUUGGUUAGUGCACAUGCCAAUGAGCUCAGGCAUCCGUGCUCGAGGCGUGGCCUCCGCAGGGUGCCUCACUUCUGCCUAAACAACAUACAGUUUUUGUUUUGGAACAGCGAGCUUCCUCGUCGAUUUCUAUUAGAGAAAAACAACAUAUAGUUAAGGGAGGGAAACUUCCCCCAUUAACCAUGUAUUUUAAUUUUUGGCAUGCUUUGCUGUCCUAAUUGUGCAUGCUGAGAGUUAAUGUUUCAUGCUAUUUUGAGAACAUAUCUAGCCAUUAAAGGUGGUCAUGAUUUAUUUCUGUCCUGUUCAAUAGUUGUCAUGCAACCUGCCAGUCAAAGAAAACAAAUUCAUUACAUAGCAGGAAAGGCAUCUCUAUCCCACCAAAUUUGCAUAUUAUGCUCAUCAGUUAAUGUUUGAGGGCCAUUCACAUUUUUGGAACGGCUUUAAUUUACCAUUCACAUCUUAAGUUCCUGCUACUAUUGUUGUUGUAUACUGCUUCCUAACUGAAAUAAGAAUACAUGAUGGCUAUGGAACAUUUGAAAGCAUGAAAGAGCAGCUUAUGUACAUUUAGUUUGAAACUGUACUGUUUUUUCAAUUUCGCAUGAAAGACAUUACUGUGAAACUAUGGAAGCAUAUUUCUGUUGCAUUUAGAUGACUUGCGUGUUAUGAGUUUUAAUUGAAUAUAUCUGCAGGGAUCAACUCGCUUUGCUUUUGGGGUUCUUGUACUUGGGCCAUGUAUCUGAUGCCUUUGAUGAAAUGGAGGAUGGGCAUGAUGGUGCUGAGAAAUAUGCUCACUGGAUAUAGCACUCAAGCCUUGGUAUUAUUCAUUAAGAAUUAGCCAUCAUGUAUUUUCUAUGGUUGUAUUAGGCUUUUUUAAGCAAAGACAUGUUGUAAACAAGCUGAAUUUGUUGAACUCUAUCUGUAAUGAGUGUUGUACUGUACUUUUGUACUGGAAGCAUGACAUUGUCUGUUUAUCCUUGUUCAGUCCUUAACCUGGCCAUGUUUGCAGCCACAUCAUGCUCUGCUCAGCAUGCUCAUGCAUCAUCUUGCUUUUAAGCAUCUGAUGAUUUGUUACAGGUUGUUGUUGCCCAUGCUGUUUCCAGUGUCCGAGUUAAUGUUUUGUUGGGUGCCUUUUCAGAAUCAGGAAAGCAACAUUUAUCUUGUCAUGUUCAAGUCACAUUUUGAUUUUUGAGGCUUCUGGAAAAAA
rnacentral:lncRNA from 1 species